rnacentral:rRNA from 1 species
UGGUGGAGUGAUUUGUCUGCUUAAUUGCGAUAACGAACGAGACCUUAACCUGCUAAAUAGCCCGUAUUGCCCUGGCAGUACGCCGGCUUCUUAGAGGGACUAUCGGCUCAAGCCGAUGGAAGUUUGAGGCAAUAACA